UACGGGGGGAGCAAGCGUUGUUCGGAUUUACUGGGCGUAAAGGGCGCGUAGGCGGUCAGCACAAGUCAGUUGUGAAAUCUCCGGGCUUAACCCGGAAAGGUCAACUGAUACUGUGCGACUAGAGUGCGGAAGGGGCAACUGGAAUUCUCGGUGUAGCGGUGAAAUGCGUAGAUAUCGAGAGGAACACCUGCGGCGAAGGCGGGUUGCUGGGCUGAUACUGACGCUGAGGCGCGAAAGCCAGGGGAGCGAACGGG
rnacentral:rRNA from 1 species